rnacentral:hammerhead_ribozyme from 1 species
AUCCAACUGACGAGUCCCAAGAAGGACGAAAACGCGCGUCCUGGAU